AGACCCGAAACCCGGUGAUCUAGCCAUGGGCAGGUUGAAGGUUGGGUAACACUAACUGGAGGACCGAACCGACUAAUGUUGAAAAAUUAGCGGAUGACCUGUGGCUGGGGGUGAAAGGCCAAUCAAACCGGGAGAUAGCUGGUUCUCCCCGAAAGCUAUUUAGGUAGCGCCUCGUGAAUUCAUCUCCGGGGGUAGAGCACUGUUUCGGCUAGGGGGCCAUCCCGGCUUACCAACCCGAUGCAAACUGCGAAUACCGGAGAAUGUUAUCACGGGAGACACACGGCGGGUGCUAACGUCCGUCGUGAAGAGGGAAACAACCCAGACCGCCAGCUAAGGUCCCAAAGUCAUGGUUAAGUGGGAAACGAUGUGGGAAGGCCCAGACAGCCAGGAUGUUGGCUUAGAAGCAGCCAUCAUUUAAAGAAAGCGUAAUAGCUCACUGGUCGAGUCGGCCUGCGCGGAAGAUGUAACGGGGCUAAACCAUGCACCGAAGCUGCGGCAGCGAACGUAUCACCCAAGACAACUUUGCGGAGUUGACGAUUGACGGAGCGAAGCGACGUCAAAGCGUUCAUUAAAGUCGAGUUGGCUUAGGGAUACGUUCGUUGGGUAGGGGAGCGUUCUGUAAGCCAGUGAAGGUGUGUCGUGAGGCAUGCUGGAGGUAUCAGAAGUGCGAAUGCUGACAUAAGUAACGAUAAAGCGGGUGAAAAGCCCGCUCGCCGGAAGACCAAGGGUUCCUGUCCAACGUUAAUCGGGGCAGGGUGAGUCGACCCCUAAGGCGAGGCCGAAAGGCGUAGUCGAUGGGAAACGGGUUAAUAUUCCCGUACUUGGUGUUACUGCGAAGGGGGGACGGAGAAGGCUAUGUUGGCCGGGCGACGGUUGUCCCGGUUUAAGCGUGUAGGUGUGUGUUCCAGGUAAAUCCGGUUCACUUUAACACUGAGGCGUGAUGACGAGGCACUACGGUGCUGAAGUAACAAAUGCCCUGCUUCCAGGAAAAGCCUCUAAGCAUCAGGUAACAUCAAAUCGUACCCCAAACCGACACAGGUGGUCAGGUAGAGAAUACCAAGGCGCUUGAGAGAACUCGGGUGAAGGAACUAGGCAAAAUGGUGCCGUAACUUCGGGAGAAGGCACGCUGACACGUAGGUGAAGUGAUUUACUCAUGGAGCUGAAGUCAGUCGAAGAUACCAGCUGGCUGCAACUGUUUAUUAAAAACACAGCACUGUGCAAACACGAAAGUGGACGUAUACGGUGUGACGCCUGCCCGGUGCCGGAAGGUUAAUUGAUGGGGUCAGCGCAAGCGAAGCUCCUGAUCGAAGCCCCGGUAAACGGCGGCCGUAACUAUAACGGUCCUAAGGUAGCGAAAUUCCUUGUCGGGUAAGUUCCGACCUGCACGAAUGGCGUAAUGAUGGCCAGGCUGUCUCCACCCGAGACUCAGUGAAAUUGAACUCGCUGUGAAGAUGCAGUGUACCCGCGGCAAGACGGAAAGACCCCGUGAACCUUUACUAUAGCUUGACACUGAACAUUGAGCCUUGAUGUGUAGGAUAGGUGGGAGGCUUUGAAGUGUGGAC
rnacentral:rRNA from 1 species